GCCAUUCAUUAUAUCUUUUCCUCUCUUUAUAUAUAUACAUAUAGAGAGAGAGAGAGAAUUAGGUUACUACACUAUCUAUAGUACCGGAGUUCUGAUAUUAUAAUAUUAUUUUCGAUGUUAGGAUGUUCAAAUCAAUGAUUCAUGACGUUGAAUAUAAUUUAAAGUGUAUAAAGUUUUUUAAAAAAUAAAAUUUUAAUUUUUUUUCGACAUCAUUUACUUAGUAAGUAAAUCAUGUCAAAAUAGAUGGUUGAAAUUGAAUAAAUUUAAAAUUUUGAAAAUAGAACAUUCAAAUUCAAGAUCAAGAAUAUUGAUCUUAAUUUAGAUAGUUUAAAGUAUUUUUUAUCAAAAUUUAAAUAAAUUUAGAAUUUUCUACACCAUUAAACUGAACAUUCUAAGAUUGAUAACAAAACUACAGUAUCGGAGCUCCGAUAUUAUAGA
rnacentral:lncRNA from 1 species